GUUGCAGUUAAAAGCUCGUAGUUGGAUCUAGGGACGCGCAUUUCAAGCGUCCGCACUAUCGGGUCAAACCGGUAGUGCGUGGCGUUGCGGGCUCGGUCCGUUGGUGCCUACUAAAGCAUCAGCGUGUCAACCGGCCCGCCCGUCCCCUCCUUCUGGAUUCCCGUUCCUGCUAUUGAGUUAGUGGGGACGUCACAGGGGGUCCAUCGUCGGUCAGCAAUGGCCGGCGGUGGAUCCCUGGGGCCCAGAUCGUUUACCGUGAAAAAAUUAGAGUGUUCAAAGCAGGCAGAUCCAAUUUUCUGCCACCGAAUACAUUAGCAUGGGAUAAUGGAAUAGGACCCUGUCCUCCUAUUUUCAGUUGGUUUUGGCACGCGAGGACCAGGGUAAUGAUUAAUAGGGAUAGUUGGGGGCAUUAAUAUUUAAUUGUCAGAGGUGAAAUUCUUGGAUUUAUGAAAGAUUAACUUCUGCGAAAGCAUCUGCCAAGGAUGUUUUCAUUAAUCAAGAACGAAAGUUAGGGGAUCGAAGACGAUCAGAUACCGUCGUAGUCUUAACCAUAAACGAUGCCGACCAGCGAUUAGGAGACGUUGAAUACAAAACACCACCAUCGGUGCGGUCGUCCUUGGCGCGUCGCGGCUUGCCGUGGCGUGCGAGGGCGGUUUAGCCUGAUGGCAUCGGUGAAUGACUCCCCUAGCAGCUUGUGAGAAAUCAUAAGUCUUUGGGUUCCGGGGGGGAGUAUGGUCGCAAGGCUGAAACUUAAAGGAAUUGACGGAAGGGCACACCAGGAGUGGA
rnacentral:rRNA from 1 species